UGAGCAAUCUGCCCUUCUCAUCGGAAUAAGCGUUGGAAACGACGUCUAAUGCCGAAUACGACCUCCUUUCGCAUGAUCGGAGGUGGAAAGCUCCGGCGGAGAAGGAUGAGCUCGCGGCCUAUCAGCUAGUUGGUGUGGGUAAUGGCCCACCAAGGCGACGACGGGUAGCCGGCCUGAGAGGAUGACCGGCCACACUGGGACUGAGACACGGCCCAGACCUCCGUAGGGAGG
rnacentral:rRNA from 1 species